GCGGAUCCUCACACGACUGUAAUCCGAUUCUUUCCAGCGGCUUCUGCAACCAAGCGGGUCUUACCCCCGGUCCUCCGCAUCUCCAGUCCUCGCACCUGGAACCCCAAAGUCUCCGAGAGUCCCCGAAUCCCCGCUCCCAGGCUACCUAAGAGGAUGAGCGGUGCUCCGACGGCCGGGGCAGCCCUGAUGCUCUGCGCCGCCACCGCCGUGCUACUGAGCGCUCAGGGCGGCCCCGUGCAGUCCAAGUCGCCGCGCUUUGCGUCCUGGGACGAGAUGAAUGUCCUGGCGCACGGACUCCUGCAGCUCGGCCAGGGGCUGCGCGAACACGCGGAGCGCACCCGCAGUCAGCUGAGCGCGCUGGAGCGGCGCCUGAGCGCGUGCGGGUCCGCCUGUCAGGGAACCGAGGGGUCCACCGACCUCCCGUUAGCCCCUGAGAGCCGGGUGGACCCUGAGGUCCUUCACAGCCUGCAGACACAACUCAAGGCUCAGAACAGCAGGAUCCAGCAACUCUUCCACAAGGUGGCCCAGCAGCAGCGGCACCUGGAGAAGCAGCACCUGCGAAUUCAGCAUCUGCAAAGCCAGUUUGGCCUCCUGGACCACAAGCACCUAGACCAUGAGGUGGCCAAGCCUGCCCGAAGAAAGAGGCUGCCCGAGAUGGCCCAGCCAGUUGACCCGGCUCACAAUGUCAGCCGCCUGCACCGGCUGCCCAGGGAUUGCCAGGAGCUGUUCCAGGUUGGGGAGAGGCAGAGUGGACUAUUUGAAAUCCAGCCUCAGGGGUCUCCGCCAUUUUUGGUGAACUGCAAGAUGACCUCAGAUGGAGGCUGGACAGUAAUUCAGAGGCGCCACGAUGGCUCAGUGGACUUCAAUCGGCCCUGGGAAGCCUACAAGGCGGGGUUUGGGGAUCCCCACGGUAGGUGUUUCUUGUGGGGACAGAGGCAGGGGAGGAAGAGGGACCCUCAGAAGUGGCCCUGCCUCACGGAGUGGCCUCUCCCACUCCAGGCGAGUUCUGGCUGGGUCUGGA
rnacentral:sRNA from 1 species